CCAGUCUCAGUCACAAUCAGAUCACUGAUGCCUCCACUGCUGGGUUACUCCAGCUGGUCUCCAUCAACUCCUCCAUCGGUUCUAUGAGACUCUCCAACAACAACAUCGUCAACAAAACUCCUUAUAAGGACAACAGGACGUUUGAAAUCUGAUGAAGCAGCUGGUCAUGUGACCAACAGGAGGUCCCWGUCUCUGAAUCAAUCAAUCAAAUUUUAUUUGUAUAGCACAUUUCAGCAGCAAGGCAUUUCAAAGUGCUUCACAUAGAUUUUUUAAAAUAAUGUUCUUAUUGUUUUCUGUUCCAUGUAGUCAACUGUAUGCAAAAAUUGUAAAUGCAACUUUUUAUAAACUUCUAUGUGGUUCAGCUUUUUGCAUUUAGAUAAAAUGCAGMAAGCAUUUUAUCUAAAAUGAUUUGAUUUGUUGAACUCAAAUGUUAAAAUUAGUUGAGUGAUUAAACUAAAUUUGCGUCUGAUCAAUAAUCUUUUUUUGUUAGUUUAUUGUUAAACCAUUUGUCAGUUCAGUGCAGAAUCCAAAGKAUUUAGAAUUAUUCUCCAAUGUUGAGUUUAAAGUUUGAUUUAGUUGUUUUUAGCUUUAAGGUUCUAAUGUAUGAAGAUUCUUUUUUGUGUUCAGAGACUGAAGAUGUUUAAAUAAAAAUAAAUUACAACCA